rnacentral:rRNA from 1 species
GAUGAACGCUGGCGGCGUGCCUAAUACAUGCAAGUCGAACGAAACUUCUUUAUCACCGAGUGCUUGCACUCACCGAUAAAGAGUUGAGUGGCGAACGGGUGAGUAACACGUGGGCAACCUGCCCAAAAGAGGGGGAUAACACUUGGAAACAGGUGCUAAUACCGCAUAACCAUAGUUACCGCAUGGUAACUAUGUAAAAGGUGGCUAUACUACCGCUUUUGGAUGGGCCCGCGGCGCAUUAGCUAGUUGGUAGGGUAAAGGCUUACCAAGGCAAUGAUGCGUAGCCGAAUUGAGAGGUUGAUCGGCCACAUUGGGACUGAGACACGGCCCAAACUCCUACGGGAGGCAGCAGUAGGGAAUCUUCCACAAAGGGCGAAAGCCUGAUGGAGCAACGCCGCGUGGGUGAAGAAGGUCUUCGGAUCGUAAAACCCUGUUGUUAGAGAAGAAAGUGCGUGAGAGUAACUGUUCACGUUUCGUCGGUAUCUAACCAGAAAGCCACGGCUAACUACGUG